rnacentral:rRNA from 1 species
CGGAGGAAAAGAAACCAACAGGGAUUGCCUCAGUAACGGCGAGUGAAGCGGCAAAAGCUCAAAUUUGAAAUCUGGCCCCCUCGGGGCCCGAGUUGUAAUUUGCAGAAGAUGCUUCGGGUGUGGCUCCAGUCUAAGUUCUUUGGAAUACUACAUCACAGAGGGUGAGAAUCCCGUAUGUGACUGGCUGCCUCCGCCCGUGUGAAGCUCUUUCGACGAGUCGAGUUGUUUGGGAAUGCAGCUCAAAAUGGGUGGUAUAUUUCAUCUAAAGCUAAAUAUUGGCCAGAGACCGAUAGCGCACAAGUAGAGUGAUCGAAAGAUGAAAAGCACUUUGGAAAGAGAGUUAAACAGUACGUGAAAUUGUUGAAAGGGAAGCGCUUGCAACCAGACUUGCGCGCAGCUGAUCAUCCGGUGUUCUCACCGGGGCACUCUGCUGCGUUCAGGCCAGCAUCGGUUUCGGCGGCCGGACAAAGGCCCUGGGAAUGUGGCUCCCCUCGGGGAGUGUUAUAGCCCAGGGCGCAAUGCGGCCUGCCGGGACCGAGGACCGCGC